rnacentral:rRNA from 1 species
AAUAGAUACCCGGGUAGUCCACGCCGUAAACGAUGAGUGCUAAGUGUUAGAGGGUUUCCGCCCUUUAGUGCUGCAGCUAACGCAUUAAGCACUCCGCCUGGGGAGUACGGCCGCAAGGCUGAAACUCAAAGGAAUUGACGGGGGCCCGCACAAGCGGUGGAGCAUGUAGUUUAAUUCGAAGCAACGCGAAGAACCUUACCAGGUCUUGACAUCCUCUGCCAACCCUAGAGAUAGGGCGUUCCCCUUCGGGGGACAGAGUGACAGGUGGUGCAUGGUUGUCGUCAGCUCGUGUCGUGAGAUGUUGGGUUAAGUCCCGCAACGAGCGCAACCCUUGAUCUUAGUUGCCAGCAUUCAGUUGGGCACUCUAAGGUGACUGCCGGUGACAAACCGGAGGAAGGUGGGGAUGACGUCAAAUCAUCAUGCCCCUUAUGACCUGGGCUACACACGUGCUACAAUGGAUGGUACAAAGAGCUGCGAACCCGCGAGGGUAAGCGAAUCUCAUAAAGCCAUUCUCAGUUCGGAUUGUAGG